rnacentral:lncRNA from 1 species
AUCUUGUACUUCAUCAUCCUUAGGAGGUGUAACAUCUUCUACCACAUCAUCGUCAGAUGGUGUUACAUCUUCUAUGUAAUGAUCUUCAGCAGCCACUUUCUUGAUUCUACUACUUCUUCUCGUUGGCCUUAAAACUAAAUUCCUUUUAAGGGGAAGCCAUUUUCUUUGGUGUUCUUUUCUUCACUUUUAGUUGCGGUGCCUUGUCCUCUUGAUCUAC